rnacentral:misc_RNA from 1 species
GUUGUUUACUUCCGACUCUGUGACAGAUGUUUCACAAACGCGAGUGAAUACUGCUUAUAUUCGGUCGAUACUUAAAUGCUCAGGUCUUAUUGACGUGUGAUCACAUAAAUGCAUAAAUGGAACUUGGACCAACUACAAUGGAGGGACCAGUAGGCCAUGGGGAUAAGAUUGGUCUCAUUAACGAUGAACCACCAAAGCGCACAACGAAGAAGGAGUCCACAGACAGUGACAGUACGCGGGCGGAGUCCUCCCCACUACACAGGGGCGGUGCAGGAGAUGCCCACGAGGGCAAGAAGAGCACACUGCAGUCCUUCAGCCUGCGUGUGAUCAUCAUCUCUGCUAUAGUGUUUGCCGUUGCUGUCACCGUCUCCCUCAUCCUCAGCAUCUACCUGGGCCCACCACAGAUUGGUGAACAUGGUGCUGUUGCUUCGGAUGUCGGCGUCUGCUCAGAGAUGGGCCUGGCGAUACUCAAGAAGGGGGGUAACGCUGUUGAUUCCGCUGUGACAACGCUGUUGUGUCUGGGUGUGGUCAACUCUCACAGCUCAGGGCUUGGCGGGGGUGGUUUUAUGGUUGUAUAUGAUCACAAGAUAAAACAAUCUACUGCCUAUGACUUCCGUGAAACAUCACCCAAGGCUGCCAAGGAUUCUCUCUUUCCUGAUAAAGCAUCAACAUUGAAGGGGGGCAGGUCCGUGGCUGUCCCCGGGGAACUGAGGGGACUGGAGAUGGCCCACAAGGAGUACGGCAAACUGACAUGGAGUGAGGUGGUGCUACCGGCUGCUGACAUCGCCCGGAAAGGAUUCAACAUCACCCGCGAUAUGGCUAAUACACUGAAGUCCAAGUUCAAGGUCGAGGACUUCAAGGAGCCACUACUGAGGCAGCUGUAUGUGAGAAACUAUCAGUUUGUACCUGAGGGGACAUUCAUCCAGAGAGUGGACCUAGCCAACACUCUGGAUGCCAUAGCUGAGAAGGGUGCUGACGAAUUCUACAAGGGAGACAUCGGAAAAUCUAUCGUCAGGGCUGUGAAGGAUCAUGGCGGAGUGAUGACAAUGGCUGACCUCGUCAGCUACCAGGUCAUGAAGAGACGGGUCCUGAAUACCUUCUUCAGAGGCAGUGUGGUGGUGACAAUGCCUCCGCCGACGUCCGGGCCGAUACUGCUGCUGAUGUUGAACAUGAUGGAGAGGUUUAACUGGACCCAGGCCAACAUCAGUGAUGCAGCCACCUACCACAACAUGACGGAGAUAUUCAAAUAUGCCUACGCCCACCAAGGUCUACUUGGAGAUCCAGACUUUGUUGCAAAUAUGAGAAACACCUCCUUGAAUAUUAUUGCAAAAAAAUAUGCCAUUGAGCUGGCCAAACUUGUUGACAAUGAAACCCACCCAAUCUCCCACUAUCAUCCGCUGUAUGCUCCGGAGGUAAACAAAGGCACGACACAUGUGUCUAUUGUCGACUCUACUGAACUGAUGGUUUCUGUGACAUCGUCCAUCAACCAGCUGUUUGGGUCCGGGAUCAUGACCACCUCGGGCAUUAUACUCAACAAUGAAAUGGGAGACUUCUCAUUCCCAAACUUCACUCAUGUCAAGGAUAUGCCAGCAAAUGUGAAUAAUUUUCUCGAGCCAGGCAAACCGAAGCGCCCCCUGUCCUCCAUGGUGCCAACCGUUAUCUACAACCCAAGCUACCCCUGUGCACUGAGGAUGGCCAUCGGCGGAUCAAACGGAAGCCGGAUCAUUACAGGAGUUGCUGAGACAAUUGCUAAUGUGAUGGCGUUUGGAAUGGGUCAGGAUAUAGCUCGUGCUAUUGAGAGACCAAGGAUUUAUGACAAUCUGUUUUCAAACACCACAGAAUACGAAGCAUUGUUCCUCAUAUCCGUCGUUGAUGAUAUGAAAAAGAGAGGUCACAACAUGGUCAAGGUCACCGAAGGUCUCAGCGUCGUUCAAGCAGUGGCCAAAGUCAACGAUGAUAUCUUCGCCCACUCUGACUCCCGCAAGUCUGGGAAAGCAGCUUUGUUUAAAUAGCAGAUGGAAAGUAAAACAUUCCAGUUUUACAUUCCAUUUGCUCAAGAUGAAACCUCUGGUUUGUGUGUAGCAUGGGUUGUGAUGAAAGACAUGCUACCUUUAGAGAAGUGAUUUUACCCUGUUUUUGUUCUCUUUUUUUCCUUUUUGUCCAAAUAUUGACUUUUAAUGUUUGGAAUAAGGUUUGGUACAUUGACCUAAGAAAUCAUGAAUUGUGUAUUCUUUAGCCCAUGCUGACAGUUUUAUUUACUAUAUAUUUGGCUUAUUGGAAUUGAGUAUUUGGGUAUAUCUAGAGAUAUAUAAGUCACCCAGGUGGUGGGGUAGCCUCGUGGUUAAGGCGUUCACUCACCACGCUGAAGACACAGGUUUAUUUCCCCACAUGGGUAUCAUGUGUGAAGCCCAUUUCUGGUGUUCCCCCCACCGUGUUAUUGCUGGAAUAUUGGUGUAAAACCAUACUCACUCACUCACUCACUAUAAGACAUGCAGCAUUUACCCGUCUUUGCAUGUUAUGGUGCAGAGUAUAUUGAUGUUAUGUCAUGAAGCAAAGGUGUUCUCCUAAACGAGUUUCCUCGCAACUAAUCAUGUAAUUCUUAGAUUUAAUGUUCCUGUCGCAGGGUUAGGAAUCCAUUUAAUUAUAAAUGUGUGUAGUAUAUUGUGUUAGUUCUAGAUUCCUUUUGUCUACUUCCCUCGUUCAGGCACUGUUUUCAAAGAUGCAAGCAAUAUCAAAUUUAUUAUUUCCGUGCAGUCUUAGAUUGUCCUUGUUCCAACAGUUAUUUAUGUUUUGGGAAUAAUAAUAAUAAUAAUAAUAAUAAUAAAGCAGUGUGUGUAUAAUGUAGACGUUAGCCAUAACACUCCUUGUCCUUAUUACAUCCAGGGGUCGGGUAGCCUAGUGGUUAAAGCGUUUGCCCGUCACACGGAAGACCCGGGUUCGAUUCCUGACAUGGGUACAAUGUGUGAGGCCCAUUCCUGGUGUACCCCGCCAUGAUAUUGCUGGAAUAUUGCUAAAAGUGGCGUAAAACCAUACUCACUCACUCACCUUAUUACAUCCAACUUCUCAAUACCAGUGAAGACUCCAGUCAUGUCCGUGUUGGAAACAUGGGCCAGUGGUGAUCUUAUGCAGCAUAAUACACACUGUCUUGUGGUCCUGAGGGCUUGGACACCCAGGGCACAGUUGUGUUCCUUUCAUGUGCCAGGUCAUGGGUUUCAACCCCAAAUAUCUUUCUCAUUAUGAUCUUGUUACGAACACCUUUGUGAAAUGGGGGUCUACAGUGCAUGUCAGGUAACACUCAUGUGUCCUAGUCUAUAGCCCACGGUACAGAGUUAUGUCCUGUAGUUGCACCAGGAUCUGCUGAUAUAACGAUUGUGGGUUUGAAUCGAUUUGCCCUGAUUAUGAUUAUGGGUUUGGCAGCACCCUACCCGUUCUCAUGGGUUUCGUGGGUAAACGUCUACAAUCUGCAUCACUUCCUCCAACAGAUGAUGCCCUUCAUAUGAAUGAAAUACUCUUUGUAACCCAGUGUAAGGAGUGUUUUUGGAGAUUGAUGAUACUGGUCGUUAACCAGCAGCUUGUCAGUCAGUCAUGUAAUUUACUGAAAGGCCUUCGCGUACAUCAAUGUUUAUUUCUAGGUUUGUCAACACCAUAUUCGUGCUUGUGGAUUUCAUCAGUGUGAUAAACAUGCAUGACAUGCUUCACUCUUGCCCUCCAGCAUGGAGCCUUCAUGAAGUAAUUGAAAUACUCGUACAAUUGGGGUAAGGCCCACUCACUCACUCACACAAUACCAUGUUCUGGUGUUCCUUCAUGAAGUAAUUGAAAUACUCGUACAAUUGGGGUAAGGCCCACUCACUCACUCACACAAUACCAUGUUCUGGUGUUCCUUGGUAGGGAACAGCCUGUUAGCUUUUUUAUGUACUGACCAAUCUGUUCUUCCAUCAAUUGGGUUGAGCUUUGAUUUAUGUAAAUUUGUGAGCGAAAGAAAUGUGUUUACAUUAUUUCAAACACAACUGUAUACAUUUUGUAUAUUUUAAUGUUUGUCGGAAAAUAAGUGGCAUUUUAAACUGGAUCUGUGUGCAAUAUUUUGCCUGUUUUGUGAAUAUUCUAUUCAUAUACAAUUUAUAAACAAAUACACAUAUUCAUCAUACAUUCCAUGAAAGGGUUGAGGUGAGCAAUGAAGAAUUAUUGUUAUGCUCUUCCUACAUUCCAUGAUGUGUGGACCCGUGAAGAUCUUCAGCAACCCAUUCUUGUCGUAAAAGGCCACUAUGCUUGUCGUAAGAGGCAACUAACGAGAUCGGGUGGUCAAGCUUGCUGACUUGAUUGAU